rnacentral:rRNA from 1 species
AGUUGCCAGCAUUCGGUUGGGCACUCUAGAGGGACUGCCGGCGACAAGUCGGAGGAAGGUGGGGAGUGACGUCAAAUCAUCAUGCCCCUUAUGACCUGGGCUACACACGUGCUACAAUGGGCGGUACAAAGGGCUGCGAACCCGCGAGGGGGAGCGAAUCCCAAAAAGCCGCUCUCAGUUCGGAUUGCAGGCUGCAACUCGCCUGCAUGAAGCCGGAAUCGCUAGUAAUCGCGGAUCAGCAUGCCGCGGUGAAUACGUUCCCGGGCCUU